rnacentral:SRP_RNA from 1 species
CGGCGAGCUAGGCGGGCAGCCACCCCUUGCCUGUACCACAAAUGGGGUUUAUGGUGGGCCGAAGCUCGGGGACGGCGUUGGAACCGUGCGUCGACCUGGUUUCCGGCGUGGAAGUCCUGUCCUGCUGGGCUGGCGGCGGCAGGGCCUCGGUCGUAGGGCCGGGGAGAACUGCCCUCACCUGUCGAAUCCCGUGAGGACCGGAAGGUAACAGCGGUAGGCAGGACGAUCAGCGCUGGCAGAUAACGGGAUGGAGCUAGGGGCCAGUAAUCGUCGUGUGGGGAAGGCGUCAACUUCGAGCGCGCUCGUCG